UACAGAGGUCUCAAGCGUUGUUCGGAUUUAUUGGGCGUAAAGGGCGCGUAGGCGGCGGGGUAAGUCGGGUGUGAAAUCUCAGGGCUCAACCCUGAAACUGCACUUGAUACUGCUCUGCUUGAGGACUGGAGAGGAGACUGGAAUUCACGGUGUAGCAGUGAAAUGCGUAGAUAUCGUGAGGAAGACCAGUGGCGAAGGCGGGUCUCUGGACAGUAACUGACACUCAACUACGAAAGCGUGGGUAGCAAACAGG
rnacentral:rRNA from 1 species